GUGCUCGCUUUGCCAGCACACACACUAAAAUUAGAAUGAUACAGAGAAUAUUAGCAUGGCCCCUGUUCAAGGAUGACAUGCAAAUUUGUGAAGCAUUCCAUAUAUUU